GAUGAAGAACGUAGCGAAAUGCGAUACGUAAUGUGAAUUGCAGAAUUCAGUGAAUCAUCGAGUCUUUGAACGCACAUUGCGCCCCCUGGUAUUCCGGGGGGCAUGCCUGUCCGAGCGUCAUUGCUGCCCUCAAGCACGGCUUGUGUGUUGGGCCUCCGCCCCCCGGCUCCCGGGGGGCGGGCCCGAAAGGCAGCGGCGGCACCGCGUCCGGUCCUCGAGCGUAUGGGGCUUCGUCACCCGCUCCGUAGGCCCGGCCGGCGCCCGCCGGCGACCCCCCUCAAUCUUUCCAGGUUGACCUCGGAUCGGGUAGGGAUACCCGCUGAACUUAAGCAUAUCAAUAAGCGGAGGA
rnacentral:misc_RNA from 1 species